UACAGAGGGUGCGAGCGUUAAUCGGAAUUACUGGGCGUAAAGCGCACGUAGGUGGCGACGUAAGUCGGGUGUGAAAGCCCCGGGCUCAACCUGGGAAUUGCAUUCGAGACUGCAUUGCUGGGAGUACGGAAGAGGAAGGCGGAAUUCCCGGUGUAGCGGUGAAAUGCGUAGAUAUCGGGAGGAACAUCAGUGGCGAAGGCGGCCUUCUGGUCCAGUACUGACACUCAAGUGCGAAAAGCGUGGGGAGCAAACAGG
rnacentral:rRNA from 1 species